GAUGAAGAACGUAGCGAAAUGCGAUAAGUAAUGUGAAUUGCAGAAUUCAGUGAAUCAUCGAAUCUUUGAACGCUCAUUGCGCCCCUUGGUAUUCCGAGGGGCAUGCCUGUUCGAGCGUCAUUAUAACCCCUCAAGCUCAGCUUGGUGUUGGGGCCUGCUGCACUGGCAGCCCUUAAAAUCAGUGGCGGCGCCAUCUGGCUCUAAGCGUAGUAAUUCUUCUCGCUAUGGAGUCCUGGUGGAUGCUUGCCAUCAACCCCCAAUUUUUCUAUGGUUGACCUCGGAUCAGGUAGGGAUACCCGCUGAACUUAAGCAUAUCAAUAAGCGGAGGA
rnacentral:misc_RNA from 1 species